UCAAGGAAUGUGGCCAGCUGCAGAGAGCCGCAUGCUAGGGUGGGACUGCAGCCAAGCCUGUGGUCACUUAUUAGUGACUGAUUAUAGCUUAAGCAAGAGGGCAACUCUGUUCUGUUCCAUCCCCACGGGGCAGCUCCGGCCAAGAGUCUGACAGAUUCAAACAGCCAAGGGAUGAGAGGAAAGCCCUGUGUGAGGCUUUCCUAUGGGUAGCAGGAAGACCACAAGAGAAAUAUUGAGCACUGGGUCAGAGUGGGGGACAAGAUCUUCUGUCUUCCUCCCCUGACAAGAUGCAGGGGACCUGGAGAGAGAACUGGUAUGGGGGUACCAGGCUAGGAGGGCAGACUGGUGAGCAAGUGACCAGCUUGUGGGAAACAUGAUCAGUUACAACACUGGAACACAGGAUUCGGGGUACUUGAGUCUGUGUUCCUGGACCAUGGCCACUCAGCGUUGGCUCCAGAGCAAACUCAUAUUCCCUUGGAGACAUAGAUGGGGCUGGAAAUCUUCUGCCUUCUCCAGGGUGAACCUGGGUCUUAGAUC